ACAUGCUAUGUAUUAGAAAAGACACAAAUCAAACAAAAGUGGCCAGAAUGUGGAGGCCAUGUGCGGCCAACAAUUAUUUCACAGCCCAUAUUUUUAGAUUCAGCCAUUGGUUGAUUUUAAGCUCCAUUCUCUCAACCAACUUAUAUUAAAUACACACCCAAACCCAUUAUACUCAAUCACAACCUACAAAAGAUCAGUGUUAUUUUACACUACAUCCACUCCCUCCCACCGUUCGGGUUCCGGAGACCGGAAUAACCGGUGACGGGACGAGCUGAAGACCAAGGUGAGAGGUUGAAGAUGAUGAUGAUGCAAGGUGGUGCAUCGAUGACAGUUCAAGGCAGCUACGCCGCCGCUCACGGCGGUGGUAGUGGCGGCGACAACAGUGGGAGUGGCGGUGGUGGUUUCGAGGCCCCUUCGACAAACUCUCCGGCCCGAUCUGAGCUAUGAUCGGUCAGAUUCAUGGCUCGAGUCUCGGCUCAUGGUUCGGUUCAAGAUUCGCCCUCGGUUUAGUUCAGUCCGGGUUCGAGUCUCGGUUUGGUCUUGGUUCGGGUCAGACUCGGUACGGUCCCUGUUCGGUAUCCGUUUUGGUUUCCGUCGAGCGGAUCAAAGACGGUCAACAUCGGGGCAGCUACGGUCGGAGUUCGCAACGGGAACCAUUUCAUCGUGUUCGGGUAAUCAUUUCGUUUGUUCUCUUGGAAAUUCUCAAUCUUUACUCGUGCGUUAUUUCAAGAAAUCCCUAUACGCAACCACUGUUGAUUAAUGAAGUAUGGAUGAAUGAUGAAACAAGUUAGGGUGGACUAGACACACGCCUAGAAUAUUCUAUCUUUUGUUUGUUAUGUUACUUGUUGAACCAAUGUUGUUAUUUCCUUUUGAAUCAUGUAUGACUUCUAGUUUUGAAAUGAAAUUUGAAUUUAAAUUAA